rnacentral:rRNA from 1 species
GCAGCAGUGGGGAAUCUUGCGCAAUGGGCGAAAGCCUGACGCAGCCAUGCCGCGUGGAUGAUGAAGGUCUUAGGAUUGUAAAAUCCUUUCACCGGGGACGAUAAUGACGGUACCCGGAGAAGAAGCCCCGGCUAACUUCGUGCCAGCAGCCGCGGUAAUACGAAGGGGGCUAGCGUUGCUCGGAAUUACUGGGCGUAAAGGGAGCGUAGGCGGGUCGUUAAGUUGGGGGUGAAAGCCCGGGGCUCAACCUCGGAAAUGCCUUCAAUACUGGCGACCUUGAGUGUGGGAGAGGUGAGUGGAACUCCGAGUGUAGAGGUGAAAUUCGUAGAUAUUCGGAAGAACACCAGUGGCGAAGGCGACUCACUGGCCCAUUACUGACGCUGAGGCUCGAAAGCGUGGGGAGCAAACAGGAUUAGAUACCCUGGUAGUCCACGCCGUAAACGAUGAGUGCUAGUUGUCGGCAUGCAUGCAUGUCGGUGACGCAGCUAACGCAUAAGCACUCCGC